ACAAAGGGGACUGUGUGGAUAUCCUUACUGUUAAGGAAGUUGGGUCAAUUGUCACAUUGUCCUCGUCCAUGCAGAAUUUUCUGCGAUAAUAUUGGAGCUACUUCAUGAUCUAAGGAUGAGAUAAUCGCUGAGAGUUCCAAACACGUUUAAAUAGAAGUAAGACUGAAUAUUUUACCAUAGCUAUGGGGCUUGUAGAAACUAUGAUCAAAGGGGAGUGCUGAGGAAAACAUUAGGUUGGUAUGAUUACUAGUUCCUACAUGCUAAGUCGGUACGACUCUAACGACGCUUUUUUGUUUCUGGCGUCCGCCACGUGUUAAUUAUCUAAGUGUUUCCGGUGUGUUCAUAUGGCUGUACAUGAUGGUGAAAUACAGAAAGUAAAAACU